UACAAGAUACCUUGAUAGGAUUCAGUUGU
rnacentral:piRNA from 1 species